GAUGAACGCUGGCGGCGUGCCUAAUACAUGCAAGUCGAGCGAACAGACGAGGAGCUUGCUCCUCUGACGUUAGCGGCGGACGGGUGAGUAACACGUGGAUAACCUACCUAUAAGACUGGGAUAACUUCGGGAAACCGGAGCUAAUACCGGAUAAUAUAUUGAACCGCAUGGUUCAAUAGUGAAAGACGGUUUUGCUGUCACUUAUAGAUGGAUCCGCGCCGCAUUAGCUAGUUGGUAAGGUAACGGCUUACCAAGGCGACGAUGCGUAGCCGACCUGAGAGGGUGAUAGGCCACACUGGAACUGAGACACGGUCCAGACUACUAAGGGAGGCAGCAGUAGGGAAUCUUCCGCAAUGGGCGAAAGCCUGACGGAGCAACGCCGCGUGAGUGAUGAAGGUCUUCGGAUCGUAAAACUCUGUUAUUAGGGAAGAACAAAUGUGUAAGUAACUAUGCACGUCUUGACGGUACCUAAUCAGAAAGCCACGGCUAACUACGUG
rnacentral:rRNA from 1 species